rnacentral:misc_RNA from 1 species
GAGUUCCUCAUAUGAUUUCAUGAAAGUGGUCUAUAGUUUCAGUAAAGAUGCACCAUAGGAGGUUUUCGCAUAUUUAUUAAAGUGUGAAUGCUUAUCUUUCCAUGAUUUGUUAAGUGUUUCUUGUGUCCAAUUAAAUUCUGUAAGAACCAGAUACUACAUGACUUGUCUCACAAAUUCUCAUUCAUUUCAACCAGUCACUCUUCUGUGAUUCUGCAAUUUCAUAUGGUCCAACAGAAUACAUCAGUUUC